UAACUCCGCUCCUAACCAAUCAGUUUGUGCCAGUUUUUUUUAAAAAAAGUACUGUACCUUGGGUGACAAUAUUCGAUAGGCUAGCAGGGUCUCCUCCCGUUUGGAGCCACUGGCACUUUUCCCUGCUGUAAAGUAAUCACUAGCUCGAGUUGCUUUGCGGGGUGGGGAAUGGCUUUCCUUUCUGAAAUUAGAAAGGAAUCUGGAAAGGGAAGAACUGAAGGACUAGAGGUAUAAAUUGAAGACAGUAGUUUCUCUGGUUAUCAACCAGAUGAAAACUGGCAGCAAGUUGUAAUCCUAACAGAUUGGAACACACACAGUUGAAGGGACAUAUAGUGUUGUGUGUUCAAACCAAAAAGAUGUCUCCCAGCCAUCUCCAAGAGAAGUACUGAAAAAGUCUAAUAUUUUAGAAGAUUCCAGGCUUGGUGUGUUCAGGAGCUGUGGGAGAAAAUGAGAUUAUGCUUGAGCUGUUUUGAAGAAAGAUCCUAUAUUUUUGUUUUAAAAAGUAUUACAUUGAUUUUCCAUCACAAAUUAAUAUUAAAUAUGGGGAAGUAAGCAGCA